CGGGUGAGUAACGCGUGAGGAGCCUGCCUCAAAGAGGGGGACAACAGUUGGAAACGACUGCUAAUACCGCAUAAGCCCACGGCUCGGCAUCGAGCAGAGGGAAAAGGAGCGAUCCGCUUUGAGAUGGCCUCGCGUCCGAUUAGCUAGUUGGUGAGGUAACGGCCCACCAAGGCGACGAUCAGUAGCCGGCCUGAGAGGGUGAACGGCCACAUUGGGACUGAGACACGGCCCAA
rnacentral:rRNA from 1 species